GAAGAACCCCUGUCUGUCUUUUUCUUCCACUUUGAGAAUGAUGGUUCUGCUGCCUGUGAAGCCCAUGGAGUGCUCACUUCUCAAAGCUUGGUCACUUAGGCAUUUUGCAGUAGACUGCAGUCCUUGAAUAUUUUAUCAUUCUAAGUAUGAAGAUAGAAAUUCAUGUCUUUUUUGGGAAACUUCAAACAACUUCAUUUUUACAACCAAGGCCAGCAAUUCUACAUGGGUCCCAUCUUAGUCAUUUUAAACCUUCCUAAAGGACAGAAGUUUGACACAGAGGGAGCUGAGACCUCCACUUGGGUGUCCAGGAGCCAUCAUGCUCAAGACCCUCUUGACUGGCUUAAUUUCCAAUUUUGUGGCUCUGUAGCAGACUUGCUUAGAUGAGCACUAGAUACUAGUUGUGGCAUGAUGGUGUUAAAAUCUUAGAAUAAAUGGUCAGCCUAUAUCCAUCCAUCCAUGUCUCCAGCUCUACAGGUUAAAAUAUCUACUGUCUGUUUGGUUUCCCUUCUCCAGAAAUAGAUGUCAGGCUUUGAACUUAAACUUCAGUCAUGAGUAGGCUGAAACACGAAAAAUUUCUCCCUGCCCUUUUCACUCACAUUCAUGUUCUAUUGCUUGUAAUUCCAGCAGCUGGCCAUUCCCGACAUCAAAGGGAGGUCAAGUAGCAUGUUAUUCAGCAAGGUGAACGGACUUGAUAAUUACUGAGUAAGAAGAACGGAGGAAGGAAAAUGCAGAGGGAGGCACCUCCCUCCAGCAGGGCAGUGGAACUCUCUCAGUAGUUCCAUGGCUGAUCGUCUCUGGAAAAUGUUGCCGGCAUGACACACGUCGUCAUCACCAUACAUUUUUGUGUUUCCCACUUUGGAAAACAACCAUGUCUGGCAUAUAAUUUCUCCCUUUUAUUAUGACCUGUGAGAAAGUAGCCAAGACUGGCUAGGUUUAAUUAUCCCCAUAAGGUUAUUUUGGAUGUCAGUGUCUACAAUUCAUUCACAAAUGGGCAGAGGGAAGAAGCAUGUUAGCCCAACAGAGCCAAGCUUGGGUGGAGUGGUGAAGCAUUCUGACUCCCUUCCUCCAUGGCCACAGUGGUGAGAGAGUAUGUCCUGUGUGUUUGCUUUAUGAGCUCAUGGCUUAAGUUUAGAAGGACCGUCAGCUGACUAGAUAUUUGGGUCUUUAAAUAAUCUUUAAAAAAUGUGACCCCAUGCAGUGCUCAUGUUCCAGUCAGAGUUAAUAAGACAGCAGUGCUAUAAUUGUCUUGAACUCACCAUUUGUUCUUGUUGUUUUCCUUGUGGUACUGUCUUGCCCUUGAGUCGGAAUGCUCAUGUAUUCUGAUUCUAUGACCUCAUCUGAGUGUGGCACUUGGACAAGUGGAAUUUGUCCUUUUUAUAUUUUGCCGUGUUUUUAUUUGACACACCCUGGACAGUGGAUGUGUUCUGAGUGUCCUACAUUUAGGAAACGUGGGAUCAUUCUGCUAGCCGACUGGAAACAUACCAGGGCUGGAACAAAGUCAAGCAGCCUCAAGUGUACACUGCACGCCAGACUUGAACACAGCUAGACACAGCCGGAGUUGCUGAAAAGUCAAUGCUACCCACUUCUAACUUGUUCUGUGGGUCAUCGUCCUGGUACCACGAACCAUAAAUGCAACAGUGCCAACCGCUCAGAAGAGGAGAUAAAAAUUGCUGGCGGACGUGACUAUUCUGGUGAUGAUUCCAAUGGAAGACACACUAAGUGACCAACAUUGAGGACCAAGUAGGUAGGUAGGAUGUGAGGUCAGAAUUUGGUUCCUGUUGGAGCAGAUUUCAGAGAUCUGUGGGGAAAGCAGACAAGCAUGCAUGAGAUCUCUGUCAAAAGCAUCCAGUGCAGUGUCUCCUAGUAGCCACCCUUGAAAGGAAAGGUCAGUGUGAACAUGUUCAAUCUCAGAGACCCCUGUAGUAGAAAAGAGGAGGGAGCCAAAACCUCUUCUGCCUUCUGUGUGUCUAAACAAACAAAUAAAAAUAAAAUACUUUUUAAAAC
rnacentral:sRNA from 1 species